rnacentral:rRNA from 1 species
GACGAACGCUGGCGGCGUGCUUAACACAUGCAAGUCGAACGGAAAGGCCCUGCUUUUGUGGGGUGCUCGAGUGGCGAACGGGUGAGUAACACGUGAGUAACCUGCCCGUGACUUUGGGAUAACUUCAGGGAACUGGGGCUAAUACCGGAUAGGAGCUCCUGCUGCAUGGUGGGGGUUGGAAAGUUUCGGCGGUUGGGGAUGGACUCGCGGCUUAUCAGCUUGUUGGUGGGGUAGUGGCUUACCAAGGCUUUGACGGGUAGCCGGCCUGAGAGGGUGACCGGCCACAUUGGGACUGAGAUACGGCCCAGACUCAUACGGGCGGCAGCAGUGGGGAAUAUUGCACAAUGGGCGGAAGCCUGAUGCAGCAACGCCGCGUGCGGGAUGACGGCCUUCGGGUUGUAAACCGCUUUCGCCUGUGACGAAGCGUGAGUGACGGUAAUGGGUAAAGAAGCACCGGCUAACUACGUG